GUAGGGAAUAUUGGGCAAUGGAGGCAACUCUGACCCAGCCAUGUCGCGUGCAGGAUGACGGCCCUCUGGGUUGUAAACUGCUUUUAUACGGGAAGAAAAAAUACUACGUGUAGUAUACUGACGGUACCGUAAGAAUAAGGAUCGGCUAACUCCGUGCCAGCAGCCGCGGUAAUACGGAGGAUCCAAGCGUUGUCCGGAUUUAUUGGUUUUUAAGGGUGCGUAGGCGGAUCUUUAAGUCAGUGGUGAAAGACUGCAGCUUAACUGUAGAAUUGCCAUUGAAACUGAAGAUAUUGAAUGUGGUUAAAGUAGGCGGAAUGUAUCAUGUAGCGGUGAAAUGCUUAGAUAUGAUACAGAACACCGAUAGCGAAGGCAGCUUGCUGAACCAUUAUUAACGCUGAGGCACGAAAGCGUGGGGAGCGAACAGGAUUAGAUACCCGAGUAGUCC
rnacentral:rRNA from 1 species